rnacentral:rRNA from 1 species
UAUAGAGUAGCACUCGCAUAUCAAUAAGCGGAGGAAAAGAAACUAACAAGGAUUCCCCUAGUAACGGCGAGUGAAGCGGGAAGAGCUCAAAUUUGAAAUCUUAAAGGGUUUCCCUUUACGAAUUGUAGUUUAAAGAAGUGUUUUCUGUUGAGGUUUUGGUAAAAGUUCUUUGGAAUAGGACAUCAUAGAGGGUGAGAAUCCCGUAUUUGACCUUUACUUUCAACUUUGUGAUACACUUUCAAAGAGUCGGAUUGUUUGGGAAUGCAGUCCAAAAUGGGUGGUAAAUUUCAUCUAAAGCUAAAUAUUGGCGAGAGACCGAUAGCGGAACAAGUACCGUGAGGGAAAGAUGAAAAGAACUUUGAAAAGAGAGUUAAACAGUACGUGAAAUUGUCAAAAGGGAAGCGUUUGACACCAGUGUUGUUUUUCUGAAAAUCAAUUAAAGAACUGUUUAUGCUAAGCUGUUUAGACUUUAUCAGCUAUCUGUUUAGUUUUAGGCUUUUCUUUAAUGCACUUUUCAGUUAACAAGUCAACAUCAAUUUCUUUUGCUGUAAAAAAGCUUGAGGAAGGUGGCUUGAGAUUCGUCUUAAGUGUUUAUAGCCUCUUGCCUAUGCAGUCGGAGAGAUUGAGGUCUGCAGCGUAGAUCCUUCGGGGCUAAAUGCAUUUGUGCUAAGUUAUAGCAUUUUAUAGACAACUUGUUGACUAUGAUUUGUCUUGUAGCUUACUCGCUUAUGUUAUUUUACCUACGCUUAGGAUGUUGAGCGCAUGUCUCUCUCU